CUACUACUCCCUCCAUCCGGAAAAACUUGUCCCAAGCUUCUUUCUCAAAUGGAUGUAUCUAGCACUAACUUGGUGCUAGAUACAUCCAUUGGAGGGACAAGCUUUUUCGGACGGAGGGAGUACCUC
rnacentral:pre_miRNA from 1 species